UAGCGUUCCUGUUGCUAUGUACAGUAUAUAGCAACAUACAUCUUUUGUAAUUUUUGAAUAAAUAUUUGAAGUUUUUCAGAAAACUUCAGGAUUUAGAAGGCGUUUUUAGAAUCGGCCUCAGGUCUAAAUGGGUUCAUCCAAUAGUAUACACAGGACAUGCUGUAUAAAGCCCACUUCUUUUCAGAAGUAGUAGAGUUGGUGCAUAUAAUUCUUGUGCACAUACAGUAGCUUGUGCACAUUAUGUUAUGCAUUGUCACUACUCGUGAGUUUGGAUUCCUACAGGCUAAAUCUUGGUCAUGCUUUUAUUAACCUUGCUUCUUUAAGUAUUGGAGCUCAGCCAUCAUAGGUCUUGUCAACUUGCCCUGAAUUAUGUCAAUAUCUUUAUUUGUCCUGGAUUUCAAACUGCAUCACUUUAUGGUCAGGAAAAUGUACUUUUUUACUAUGCACUAGGAAUAGUGAGUAUAUUGUCUAAAUGACCAUGUUUCUCAAUUUGUCUCCAUCUUUUAGAUUGCACAAGAUGUUUCGAUCCUCUUCGCAGAGCCUGCACCUAAACUCUUGGAAACGUGGGUUCCUCUUUACGCUGACCAGAUCAUUCGUCUGGCGAAACGCGAAGGGAAACUCGCAUUGCCAGAGGAACAGAUCAAUCUGGGUGCCAGGGGAGAAGUAGCCCUGAUGCUGCUGCCUGUCAUGCUCCCUCUGCCUGUAUAUAAACAGGGCAAAAAUUGGUCCGCGCCAGUGUGGAAGAAUCUAAAUCAUUCUUCAUUGAUGUUAAGCCCGUCGGAACUAACAUGGUGGAGUAUUUGGAGCAAGCCAAAUCGUCCAGGUCGUGCCCGUUCGUGCUACUGCUUCAGGAUGGGAUGCUGUGCUCUCAAGCCUUUGUUGUUAUCUCAGGCAAGGCUAUUGAGACUGGGCUCUCGCAGCUGCUGUGGAUACCUGUUUCAAGAGUUUUUAUGUCUUUGACAUAAACUAUACAAAUCAGUGUUUGCCUACUUGGCAAUUCUUCCAGGAUGUUGUUUAUGAACUCGAGGGAACUGUUUCCCCAGCAGUGAAGUUCCUGAAAAUGCAAAUACAUGCUUGUAACUAGACUGGCCUGCAUCCCCCCCACCCAUCUCUUCCUUUCUCUCUCCUCUCCCUCUUGUUCCACAUCUCCUAGUAUCAAUAACCCUUGUGUGAGGA